rnacentral:lncRNA from 1 species
GAGUCUUUUUUAUUUUCUUCCGUCCCGAGGAUGCUUCGGGCUGUAGGGACCCAGGCUGGUGUCACAGAUGCCCUAACUCAUUGCAGGGGCAGAGAAGUGUUCCUGGAAGGAACGCCGCCUCGCGACCAGACUCUCCCUAGCUGGAUUACACCCGGACUCUUGGGUGUAAGCAGACCCAGGGCACCCACAGCAUGACAGAAGCACAGAGGAGGAAGAGACAGAAGGGAAGAAAUCCUUCUUUCCGGAGAUGAUGGCUUUUGAGUUUGGUUUGUGAGAUGACCGAUAAGAGUUGGCCAGAGGAGAGAAAAAAGGAUUCUCGGCCGGGGGCGGAGGGGGGGGGAGCAGUGCUCAGAGGUUUGACGACAUAAAAAUUCCCAUGGGUUGAGGGCUGCUAGGGAACUGCCUAUGGAGGGGAACAAGGUUUAGGGGCCGGUUGGUCACAGACAGUUUAGGUCCCUAAGAUUAAAGGGAUGCAAGCUGGGCGCGGUGGCACACGACUGUAAUCCCAGUGAUUCUGGAGGCUGAAGCAGGAGGAUUCCAAGUUCAAGGCCAGCCUCAGCAAUUUAGCAAGACCCUGUCUCUCUGGGGCUAGGGCUGUAUUUCAGUUGGUAGAGUGCUUGCCUCACAUGCAUAAGACCCUGGGUUCAAUCC